rnacentral:rRNA from 1 species
GGGAUUACCUCAGUAACGGCGAGUGAAGCGGUAACAGCUCAAAUUUGAAAUCUGGCUCUUUCAGGGUCCGAGUUGUAAUUUGUAGAAGAUGCUUUGGGCGUAGCUCCAGUCUAAGUUCCUUGGAACAGGACGUCAUAGAGGGUGAGAAUCCCGUAUGUGAUUGGUGGCUUUCGCCUGUGUAAAGCUCUUUCGACGAGUCGAGUUGUUUGGGAAUGCAGCUCAAAAUGGGUGGUAAAUUCCAUCUAAAGCUAAAUAUUGGCGAGAGACCGAUAGCGAACAAGUACCGUGAGGGAAAGAUGAAAAGAACUUUGGAAAGAGAGUUAAACAGUACGUGAAAUUGUUGAAAGGGAAACGCUUGAAGUCAGUCGCGUUGGCUGGGAAUCAACCUUGCUCUUUUGCUUGGUGUACUUCCUAGUCGAUGGGUCAACAUCAGUUUUGACUGUUGGAAAAAGACUAGGGGAAUGUGGCAUCUUCGGAUGUGUUAUAGCCUUUAGUUGUAUGCAGCAGUUGGGACUGAGGAACUCAGCACGCCGCAAGGCCGGGAUUUAUCCACGUUCGUGCUUAGGAUGUUGGCAUAAUGGCUUUAAUCGA